AAUGAACGCUGGCGGCAUGCCUAACACAUGCAAGUCGAACGAGACCCUCGGAACUACUGGCGCUUGGGGGUGUAAAGCGUGGGAACCUGCCCUAAUGCUCGGAAUAAUUCCUUGAAAGGGGUGCUAACGCCGGUAAAUGUCUUCGGACCAAAGAUGUAUCGCCUUUGGAUGGGCCCGCGUUGGAUUAGCUAGUUGGUAGGGUAAAAGCCUACCAAGGCGACGAUCCAUAGCUGGUCUGAGAGGAUGAUCAGCCACACUGGGACUGAGACACGGCCCAGACGACUCUCUGAGGCACUAGAGUGUGAUACUGGAUCAGCGUGGACGGACAGAAACAGUGAUGGCUGGUGAGAGAUGAAGGCAUUAGCGUAAUACAGCAGUUUUAGCCGUUGUUAUAGUGACAGUACCAAGAGAAUAAGCUCCGGCUAACUUUGUG
rnacentral:rRNA from 1 species